rnacentral:rRNA from 1 species
AUGGUGGAAGACUAUCUUGCUAUGAAUGGAAUUAGUAUGACGUUGUUCUGUCAGAACAAGGACUCUCUGCACAGGUCCUUGACAGCUAGCUAUAUCUUUCGAGAGUAUGGUGUCGAAGCCACAAGCUCUGACUGGAAAGGCACUACUCGCCUUGCAAUGAAAAGCUGCACCUAUCUAGGCGACACGAUUGCAUUUGAUCAGGUCGUGGAAUUGCUUGAUAAGGGCAAGCCGGUGCUUGCUAUGAUGAUCAUGGGUCCUGAUUUUUGGAUGCUUGGCGAUGACGAAAUUUACAAAUGCAAACCUGUCUUCUUGUCAGGAGAGCUCCAAAAGCCAUUUGAGUACCACAGGGUACUCCUGACUGGGCAUGGAGAGACGGAAGUAACAAAGCGAAAGUUUGUUCCAUUCCUCAACUCCCACAGCAACAAGUUUGGGCAGAACGGUGUUGGGCGUGCUUACUUCAAGGACCUGCGCUGGUUUUUCACUUUGGAGGGCACCUACCCACCGCUUCUUCGACAUCAGCCACCUAAAGUUAAUGCACUCAACCGACCAAACCUCGACAAACUAAGGCGGCGGCCUGAGUGUGAUAAUCAGCCAAACCUUGACAUACGAAGGUGGCGGCCUGAAUGUGAUAACCGACGAAACCUUGAUAAACCAUGGAGGCGGCCUGAGUGUGAUAAUGGAGCAGUGAAACAAACGCAGGCACCUGGAAAAGCUGACGCUUCCUCUUGGUGGCGUGUUGACAUGCCCCAGCCGAUUGCUAAGGUGACCAAUGGUACUGCUUGGAAUGGUAUGACCUGUUACAAAUUAAAAUCUUCUAGUUUACCGAGUUUUGAUUGA